UCCACCCCCGUGGGAGAGAGCGGCUCAAAGCCGACGCCGAAGGCGCAAACCCGCCCGGAAUCGCUCAGGCAAAAGGACCGUGGGGAGAAG
rnacentral:ncRNA from 2 species